CACGUAGGGGGCGAGCGUUGUCCGGAUUUAUUGGGCGUAAAGAGCUCGUAGGCGGCUCGGUAAGUCGGGUGUGAAAACUCUAGGCUCAACCUAGAGACGCCACCUGAUACUGCUGUGGCUAGAGUCCGGUAGGGGAGCAUGGAAUUCCUGGUGUAGCGGUGAAAUGCGCAGAUAUCAGGAGGAACACCGAUGGCGAAGGCAGGUCUCUGGGCCACUACUGACGCUGAGAAGCGAAAGCAUGGGGAGCGAACAGG
rnacentral:rRNA from 1 species